rnacentral:rRNA from 1 species
GACCUCGGAUCAGGUAGGGAUACCCGCUGAACUUAAGCAUAUCAAUAAGGGAGGAAAAGAAACCAACAGGGAUUGCCUCAGUAACGGCGAGUGAAGCGCAACAGCUCAAAUUUGAAAUCUGGCCCCGUCGGGGUCCGAGUUGUAAUUGUAGAGAGUGUUUCGGGUGAGACCACGGUCUAAGUCCAUUGGAACAUGGGUCAUAGAGGGUGAGAAUCCCGUAUGUGACUGUGGCUCGAGCCCAUGUGAGCCUCUUCGACGAGUCGAGUUGUUUGGGAAUGCAGCUCAAAAUGGGUGUAAAUUUCAUCUAAAGCUAAAUACUGGCUGGAGACCGAUAGCGCACAAGAGAGUGAUCGAAAGAUGAAAAGCACUUUGGAAAGAGAGUCAAAAAGUACUGAAAUUGUUGAAAGGGAAGCGCUUGCAACCAGACCUGUCCGUAGGUGACAGCCGCUGUUCUCAGCGGUGCACUCGCUCUGCGAUCAGGCCAGCAUCGUUCCGGCGGUCGGAUAAAGGCCUUGGGAAUGUAGCUCCUUUCGGGGAGUUUAUAGCCCUCGGUGCAAUGCGGCCAGCCGGGACCGAGGACCGCGCUUCGCUAGGAUGCUGGCGUAAUGGUUGUAAGCGACCCGUCUUGAAACACGGACAAGGAGUCUAACAUCAAUGCGAGUGUUUGGGUGUCAAACCCAUGCGCGAAUGAAAGUGAACGGAGGUGAGAACCCUUUAGGGCGCAUCAUCGACCGACCAGAUGUCUUCGGAUGGAUUUGAGUAUGAGCAUUGCUGUUGGGACCCGAAGAUGGUGAACUAUGCCUGAAUAGGGUGAAGCCAGAGGAAACUCUGGUGAGGCUCGCAGCGGUUCUGACGUGCAAAUCGAUCGUCAAAUUUGGGUAUGGGGCGAAAGACUAAUCGAACCAUCUAGU